GAUGAACGCUGGCGGCGUGCUAACAACAUGCAAGUCGAACGGGAAUUACUUUAUUGAAACUUCGGUCGAUUUAAUUUAAUUCUAGUGGCGGACGGGUGAGUAACGCGUGGGUAACCUGCCUUGUACAGGGGGAUAACAGUCAGAAAUGACUGCUAAUACCGCAUAAGCGCACAGGACCGCAUGGUCCGGUGUGAAAAACUCCGGUGGUAUAAGAUGGACCCGCGUUGGAUUAGCUUGUUGGUGGGGUAACGGCCCACCAAGGCGACGAUCCAUAGCCGGCCUGAGAGGGUGAACGGCCACAUUGGGACUGAGACACGGCCCAGACUCCUACGGGAGGCAGCAGUGGGGAAUAUUGCACAAUGGGGGAAACCCUGAUGCAGCGACGCCGCGUGAAGGAAGAAGUAUCUCGGUAUGUAAACUUCUAUCAGCAGGGAAGAAAAUGACGGUACCUGACUAAGAAGCCCCGGCUAACUACGUGCCAGCAGCCGCGGUAAUACGUAGGGGGCAAGCGUUAUCCGGAUUUACUGGGUGUAAAGGGAGCGUAGACGGAUGGACAAGUCUGAUGUGAAAGGCUGGGGCUCAACCCCGGGACUGCAUUGGAAACUGCCCGUCUUGAGUGCCGGAGAGGUAAGCGGAAUUCCUAGUGUAGCGGUGAAAUGCGUAGAUAUUAGGAGGAACACCAGUGGCGAAGGCGGCUUACUGGACG
rnacentral:rRNA from 1 species